rnacentral:rRNA from 1 species
CCUACGGGGUGCAGCAGUAGGGAAUAUUGCUCAAUGGGCGAAACCCUGAAGCAGCAACGCCGCGUGGAGGAUGAAUGCUUUCGGAUUGUAAACCCCUUUUGUUAGAGAAGAUAAUGACGGUAUCUAACGAAUAAGCACCGGCUAACUCCGUGCCAGCAGCCGCGGUAAUACGGAGGGUGCAAGCGUUACUCGGAAUCACUGGGCGUAAAGAGCGCGUAGGCGGGAUAGCAAGUCAGAGGUGAAAUCCUAUGGCUUAACCAUAGAACUGCAUUUGAAACGGGUAGUCUAGAGUAUAGUAGAGGAAGGUGGAAUUCGUGGUGUAGGGGUAAAAUGCGUAGAGAUCAAGAGGAAUACUCAUUGCGAAGGCGGCCUGCUAGAACGUAACUGACGCUGAUGCGCGAAAGCGUGGGGAGCAAACAGGAUUAGAUACCCCUGUAGUC